rnacentral:lncRNA from 1 species
AGAUGUGAGAGAAGUACCCGAAACAUUUACAGGAGGUACAAAUUUCGGGACGAAAUUUAUUUUAAGGGGGAGGGUAUGUAACACCCGGGCUUUUGAUGACGUGUUUAAUUGCUUAAGUUUGAGUAAUUAGGGUAUAGAUCCCUUGUUUGAUUUACUUUGUAAAGAGAUGAGGAGUUAUAUGAAGUUUUCUUGUUAUUUUUUUAAGAUGUUGAGAUGUUCUUUCGAUGAUGUGAGAAUGAUGUGAG